rnacentral:rRNA from 1 species
UACGUAGGGUGCAAGCGUUAAUCGGAAUUACUGGGCGUAAAGCGUGCGCAGGCGGUUAUGUAAGACAGGUGUGAAAUCCCCGGGCUUAACCUGGGAACUGCAUUUGUGACUGCAUAGCUAGAGUACGGUAGAGGGGGGGAUGGAAUUCCGCGUGUAGCAGUGAAAUGCGUAGAGAUGUGGAGGAAUACCGAUGGCGAAGGCAGCCCCCUGGGCCAAUACUGACGCUCAGUGCACGAAAGCGUGGGGAGCAAACAGG